rnacentral:rRNA from 1 species
CCUACGGGUGGCAGCAGUGAGGAAUAUUGCACAAUGGGGGAAACCCUGAUGCAGCAACGCAGCGUGAAGGAAGACGGCUUUCGGAUUGUAAACUUCUGUUCUUAGGGAAGUAUAAUGACGGUAGCUCAGGAGCAAGCCACGGCUAACUACGUGCCAGCAGCCACGGUAAUACGUAGGUGGCACGCGUUUUCCGGAAUUACUGGGUGUAAAGGGAGCGCAGGCGGGAAGUCAAGUCAGCUGUGAAAACUACUGGCUUAACUUGGAUACUGCAGUUGAAAAUGGUGUUCGUGAGUGAAGUAGAGGUUGGCGGAAGUCCGAGUGUAGCGGUGAAAGGCGUAGAUAUUAGGAGGAACAACGGUGGCGAAGGCGGCCAACUGGGCUUUAACUGACGCUGAGGCUCGAAAGUGUGGGGAGCAAACAGGAUUAGAUACCCUUGUAGUC